CAAAAAUAGAAUUUGUCACUAAACUUUGAAAAUGAAUACCGCCUACUUAGAAUUUCUGGUCGACAAGUUUGUUAGGGAUGUUCAAGCAGCGGAGCAGAUAUCUUCUGAGUUACCAUUGUUUUCUAAAUUUAAAGAAAUUAUGUCCAUUUUGCAGGAGAAAAAAAUCGUCCCCGAAAAGCUAAUUGAAAUAAAAGGCGAAUUACAAAAAAUCAACGAUCUUUUGGUUGAGGUCGAAGACAGACGGGGAAAACAAAAAUUUCAUCCCACUCGGACUGGUAAGGAUCUAUGGAAUUUAUAUAAAACAGGGCGGAGGCUUUCAACAAUCAGAGACAAAUUGAAGCGAGUGUAUGGAAAACCAGUGAAUGAAGAAGAACGUCAACCCAAAAAGGCAGAAGUUUUGGUGAUCGAGAAAAAAGAUCUGCCUGGAAUUUAUUUGCCCAAGUAUCGUGGAUUUGAUGAUCAAAUGGUGGAAAUUGAGAAUCUGCUGAGUAAAAACAAAGGCAACGUGGCAAUAGGAAGAGUGGGAAUUUACGGUUCGGGUAAAAGUGCGCUAGCCCGGAAGGUUAUUUUCAGCUCUAAUGUGGAGAAACUCUUUGAAUUGGUAUUGUGGAUAGAUUUAUCAGAGGUGAUAGGUUCAGAGGAGACAUACGAAUGCAUAAAAAUGGGAAAGACCUCUUAUGGUAAUGAGAGCUCUUCUGGUAAUGAUCUUCAUGCAUUGUUGUCCUCUCAUCUCUCUCCUGCAAAGAAGUGUUUGGUUGUUUUGGAUGGUGUUAGUGUUGCAUUGGAUGGAUUAAAGAGAGUGAUCGGAGAGAUUUUGGAUAAUGGUUCAGUAAUCGUUACAAGUACUCUACCAGAAGUGCACAAAACUCUUGUACCUGCAAAACAAAAGUUUCAUCUCCAUAGAUUAAGGGCCUACAAAGAGAGGAUUGUUGGCUUAUUUUCCAGGACAUAAUGAAAAGGAAAAGAUUGCACAAUCGGGAGGGAGGUCUGACUAUCGAAAUGGAAGAAAUGAAAGAAGAAAUUCUGGACUUUUGUGACGGACUCCCGUUGGGUGUGAAAAUUCUAGCAGAAACUAUUUCAAUUCGAAUUGCAAGGAAUUAGUAACUUUCUAAUCCAAUAUUAUGUUAUGUUCUCUCUUUAUUUGUUUAAUUACAUAAUCCUUUUAACAACGUUUUGUUGCAUUGUAGUGACUGGGGAAUCCCGGAGAAGGUGGUAUCAUCUAUUUCUUUGAUAAAUUAAAUUUUCCAUUUUUGAUUAGUUUUAAUUUGUCAAGUUGUGCUUACUAGGAAAUCAUCCUUGGACUCGAUGGAGAUGACCUUCGCAGCAGGAAAAUAACUCAUGACCAAGUUGCCCAAACUGACGGUCUCUCUCUCUCUCUCUCUCUCUCACACCCCCCCCCCCCCCCCCCACACACACAUUUGCAACACCUUUCUUGACUUGCAAUGCAAAUAAAUUGAAGUAUUCUAUAUUCCUUGUUACAUGCAGAAGAUGGUUUUAUUUAUCUAGAGAGAUCAACAGAUUCUGUUAGUCAAUCGAUUAGGG
rnacentral:lncRNA from 1 species